rnacentral:rRNA from 1 species
UACAGAGGUUGCAAACGUUAAUCGGAAUUACUGGGCGUAAAGCGCGCGUAGGCGGUCGGGUCAGUCGGUUGUGAAAUCCCCGGGCUUAACCUGGGAAGUGCAGUCGAUACUGCCCGGCUAGAGUGUGGAAGAGGGAAGCGGAAGUUCCGGUGUAGCGGUGAAAUGCGUAGAUAUCGGAAGGAACACCAGUGGCGAAGGCGGCUUCCUGGUCCAACACUGACGCUGAGGCGCGAAAGCGUGGGUAGCGAACAGG